GACGAACGCUGGCGGCAGGCCUAACACAUGCAAGUCGAACGCUGUAGCAAUACAGAGUGGCAGACGGGUGAGUAACGCGUGGGAACCUUCCCAAUGGUGCGGAAUAGCUCAGGGAAACUUGAGGUAAUACCGCAUAAGCCCUUAGGGGGAAAGAUUUAUCGCCAUUGGAUGGGCCCGCGUCGGAUUAGCUAGUUGGUGAGGUAAUGGCUCACCAAGGCAACGAUCCGUAGCUGGUUUGAGAGAAUGACCAGCCACACUGGGACUGAGACACGGCCCAGACUCCUCCGGGAGGCAGCAGUGGGGAAUCUUGGACAAUGGGCGCAAGCCUGAUCCAGCCAUGCCGCGUGAGUGACGAAGGCCUUAGGGUUGUAAAGCUCUUUUGCCGGGGACGAUAAUGACGGUACCCGGAGAAUAAGUCCCGGCUAGCUUCGUGCCAGCAGCCGCCGUAAGAC
rnacentral:rRNA from 1 species